CGGCCCGGGGCGGCGUGCUAUACAUGCAGUCGAGCGGACCUUUUAAAAGCUUGCUUUUGAAAGGUCAGCGGCGGACGGGUGAGUAACACGUGGGCAACCUGCCUGUAAGACUGGGAUAACUUCGGGAAACCGGAGCUAAUACCGGAUAAUAUAAGGAACCUCCUGGUUCUUUAUUGAAAGAUGGUUUCGGCUAUCACUUACAGAUGGGCCCGCGGCGCAUUAGCUAGUUGGUGAGGUAACGGCUCACCAAGGCGACGAUGCGUAGCCGACCUGAGAGGGUGAUCGGCCACACUGGGACUGAGACACGGCCCAGACUCCUACGGGAGGCAGCAGUAGGGAAUCUUCCACAAUGGACGAAAGUCUGAUGGAGCAACGCCGCGUGAGCGAUGAAGGCCUUCGGGUCGUAAAGCUCUGUUGUUAGGGAAGAACAAGUGCGAGAGUAACUGCUCGCACCUUGACGGUACCUAACCAGAAAGCCACGGCUAACUACGUGCCAGCAGCCGCGGUAAU
rnacentral:rRNA from 1 species